UACGGGGGGGGUAAGCGUUGUUCGGAAUUACUGGGCGUAAAGGGCUCGUAGGCGGCCAACUAAGUCAGACGUGAAAUACCUCAGCUUAACUGGGGAACUGCGUCUGAUACUGGAUGGCUUGGAUUCGGGAGAGGAAUGCGGAAUUCCAGGUGUAGCGGUGAAAUGCGUAGAUAUCUGGAGGAACACCGGUGGCGAAGGCGGCAUUCUGGACCGAUAUUGACGCUGAGGAGCGAAAGCCAGGGGAGCAAACGGG
rnacentral:rRNA from 1 species